rnacentral:tRNA from 1 species
AGGCCGUUCCGGACGGCGCAACAACGGUCGGCAUCACCCGCCCGGCCCCGACCUGGACUUUUAAUCCAUUGGUUGUGGGUUCGAGUCCCACACGGCCUACCA